GAUGAAGAACGUAGCGAAAUGCGAUAAGUAAUGUGAAUUGCAGAUUUCAGUGAAUCAUCGAAUCUUUGAACGCACAUUGCGCCCCUUGGUAUUCCAUGGGGCAUGCCUGUUCGAGCGUCAUUUGUACCUUCAAGCUCUGCUUGGUGUUGGGUGUUUGUCUCGCCUCUGCGUGUAGACUCGCCUCAAAAUAAUUGGCAGCCGGCGUAUUGAUUUCGGAGCGCAGUACAUCUCGCGCUUUGCACUCAUAACGACGACGUCCAAAAGUACAUUUUUACACUCUUGACCUCGGAUCAGGUAGGGAUACCCGCUGAACUUAAGCAUAUCAAUAAGCGGAGGA
rnacentral:misc_RNA from 1 species